GGAAGUAAAAGUGGUAACAAGGUUUCCGUAGGUUAAGUUCAGCCUACCAGAGCAGCCUGUGAAAGAAAAUGCUAGUUGGCCUUGCUGCCAGCGACACGCCCACCUUGCGGAAAAGCCCUAGUAUCAGGGAAACCCGCAGCCCGCCUCCCUUACCCGGAGGCUGGUUCAGAGACUCAAUAGGCGUGGGUCUGGCCUUAGCGCCAGGCUUGAGAUAGAGCCCGUCCCCGCUGGCCACGGCGGGGAGCAAACGGAACCUGCGGAAGGAUCAUUA
rnacentral:rRNA from 1 species